rnacentral:rRNA from 1 species
AGUGAACGCUGGCGGCAGGCCUAACACAUGCAAGUCGAACGAGUGGCGGACGGGUGAGUAAUGGCUGGGAAACUGCCUGAUGGAGGGGGAUAACUACUGGAAACGGUAGAUAAUACCGCAUACCAUCAGAUGUGCCCAGAUGGGAUUAGCUUGUUGGGGGGGUAACGGCUCACCAAGGCGACGAUCCCUAGCUGGUCUGAGAGGAUGACCAGCCACACUGGAGCGGAGACACUCUCCAGACUCCGACGGGAGGCAGCAUUGGGGCAUAUUGGACAAGGGGCGCAAGCCUGAUGCAGCCAUGCCGCGUGUAUGAAGAGGGCCUUCGCGUUGUAAAGUACUUCAAUCGGGGAGGCGUUACCUGCAGAAGAAGCACCGGCUAACUCCGUGCCAGCCGCCGCGGUAAUUC